CAAUAGCGUAUAUUAACGUUGUUGCAGUUAAAAAGCUCGUAGUUGGAUUUCUGGAGGGAGCGUCGGCCCGUAUUUACGAGUGCGUGACGUCUCUGUCCAUCCUUGCGGGAAGGCACGGCAUUGAUUUGUUGUGUCGGAUCGCAUCAUUUACUGUGAAAAAAUUAGAGUGUUCAAAGCAGGCUUUCGCUUGAAUACAUUAGCAUGGAAUAAUAAGAUGGGACUUUGGUGCUAUUUUGUUGGUUGAGCCUAAAGUAAUGAUUAAUAGGGAUAGUUGGGGGCACCUGUAUUGCGUUGUCAGAGGUGAAAUUCUUGGAUUUACGCAAGACAAACAGCUGCGAAAGCGUCUGCCAAGGAUGUUUNCAUUA
rnacentral:rRNA from 1 species